rnacentral:rRNA from 1 species
AUACGUAGGGUGCAAGCGUUAAUCGGAAUUACUGGGCGUAAAGCGUGCGCAGGCGGUUUUGUAAGACAGUGGUGAAAUCCCCGGGCUCAACCUGGGAACUGCCAUUGUGAAUUCAAGGCUGGAGUGCGGCAGAGGGGGAUGGAAUUCCGCGUGUAGCAGUGAAAUGCGUAGUUAUGCGGAGGAACUCCAAUGGCGAAGGCAUUCCCCUGGGCCUCCACUGAUGCUCAUGCACGAAAGAGCAGGGAGCAAACAGGAUUAGAUACCCUGGUCGUCCGCGCCCUCAACGAUGUCAACUGGUUGUUGGGGAUUUAGUUUUCCAGUCACGAAGCUAACGCGUGAAGUUGACCGCCUGGGGAGUACGGCCGCAAGGUGAAAGCUGAAAUGAAUUGACGCGG